rnacentral:lncRNA from 1 species
UCUUUGUCACCUAACUGUAGUCAACUCCCUGGUCAUUUUCUCUGGAAAACUUUUGGAGAACAUGGCUGCUUUUGGAUUAAAAUAUUUCCCAUUAUUUUGCAUAAAAAACGAGUUUACUGUGUUCACAGAGUGGCUAGUCAUGGGACCAUAAGCAACAGCUCCAACUUUUAGUGUUUUUCAUACUGUUACCAUCAACAACAGAAACUCCAGGUACCCCAUGCUCGAAGUAAAAGCCCUAACGUACAUUGGCUCUUCCCAUACACUCUGCUGGGUCCAGAAAAUGCUGUUAAAU